rnacentral:tRNA from 1 species
GGACAGCAAUGCGGGCGUGGGUCCGCCGCUCCCUGCUAAGGAGACGGCGUCGUCGACUCGGCGACGUGAGGUUCGACUCCUCUGCUGUCCG